AGCGAGACUCCAUCUCAAAAAAAAAAAAAAAAGGAAAACAAAGACAGUAUCAAUCUCAUUGUGCUGGUGUGAGAAUUCAAUUCAGUUCUCUAAAUAAUAUGCAUAGGCUCCUCCAGGAAUGGCUAGAACUAGUGGCUCUGUUUAACAAGGAGGGGGCACAGAGGCAGGGGGCUGGCUACAAAGAGAACAUCAGCAUGGUGUCAUUCAUGAGAGCUUUCGGUAAUCAUGGCAGAAAUAAAGAAAAAAACCUUCCAUUGCUAGCCUUGUGGGUGCAAUCCUCUCUAUCCCCAAACCUCUAUACAUGUUUGUUCUAUAUAAGGCUAUAAGCCUCUUGAGGGCAGGAACUUGAUUCAUUUAAUUCUCUGGAUCUUGUAGCGCAAAAACUUAAUAUCUGUUGGAAGAAUGAUCACAUACGAGAACCUUGUAUUUUUCAAAAACAUCAUCUAUCAUGCAAACAGCCCAGACACCAUGAUGGGCUCGUCACAAAGACUCAGGGUGUUUUUAUACCUAAUCCUCAGAACUUUACCAGGUAGGUUCUUGAGCCCCAGGGGAAACUGAGGCUCAGAGAUGCUGAGUCCCUUGCCUGGAGCAACCCAGCUGGGUGGUGGCAGACGGGAAUCCCCAUUGUGCACCCUCCAGAGCUGUUGUUUGCUCUCCCCUUUUUUGUGCCACCUGCCUUCCCUGAAACUAGGUGAUAAUGAAUUCAUUUCUCCCUUUUUGUUAUUUAUCAAAGCCAUAUGUAGCUGUCAAUCAGAGUGGCUGUUCAGCAGGAGAGAAGGAGGGCUCUAACCCUGCGUCCUGUCACUAGGGCCCAAAGCAAAGGGUUGUCGACAACCUGGCAGACCUGGAAGCUCCGCUGGUGGUUAAGUGGAGGCAGCCAGUGGGCACUGUGGAGCUGCCUCUGAGCCAGCCGCAAUGACCACUGCCAGGGCCCUAUGAGGGGCCCAGGAGAGGGUGUAUGCUGAGCUGGGGAUGGCGGUGACAGUCAUUUAGUAACGACUUGCUCUGUGCCAAGCACUGGGCUAAGCGCCAUACAACAACCCUGUAACGUGGGUCCCCCUGUCCCCGCUGUUCCAGCGUGAGGAACAGAAGCUCAGAAGGGCUCCACAGCCCACAGCUGUAUUCAAACCCAGGGCUGCAGACUCCAGAGGCCCUGCUGACUGCGUCCAGGAAGGGCUCCUGGGAGAGGUGUGUCCCCUGGAGGUGGAGGUGUGGAGAAGAGGGCGGGAGGCUUCCAGAGCUUGUGCAGGGAAGAGCUGGCCAGAAGGAAAGGAAAGCCUGCCUCUCUGACGUAAGGUGUCCUGAGAUGAAGUGGCUGGGGAUGACAGUGGGGACAGGGCCUGCAAGGCUGUGCUAGGCGGGAGACAGGGAUCUAGGGCAUCGUCCUCAGAUUCCACGGCAGGUUCAGAAUUACACGGCUGCCUACCUUUCCAGCAGGUCUCAACUUACAAAACCCUCCAGAGCCCCCGCUAGGCUGUUGUCAGCCCAGGGGUGGGCACUCCCGAGGCUCUCCAGGGCCAUUCUCUUUGCCUCUCUGACAGGAGGGUUCCAGAGCCAGCCCUGGAGGAGCAAAGAGAGGGAGGGAGCAGCUGGGGGAUCAGAGAUGCUGGACGUAGCCUGAGGCCGCACGGAGACGGGGAUGGAGAGUCCUGGCUGCGAGGGCCAGGGAGACGCAGAGCCUCCUUGUGCCUGGCACUGGCCCAGAACUCUAAGUGUGUCAUGUCCUCGGAGCCCCACCCUGAGACACCGGGACCACUCUCCUCAUCAUACAAGGUUUCAGCCUCACUGAGAACCUCUCCGUAACCCCGAGCAAGUCACCGCCACAUCUUUCUGGGUCUUGGUUCCCUCUUCUGUCAAAUGGGGAGAGGGGUUGGAGUCAACCCUUCAGGUCUCUCUCAGGAGGAACCUGAAUGACUCUAGGUGUGAGACCAGUGAUGGCUGACAGUCUGUCUAUCUUCCCCCAUCCCCUCUCUUCCCCCUCGAUCUCCAGCCUCAGGAAGUACCUGCUGAAUCAACACGGAGGGGUGGACCAGAAGGCCCUGGAAGGCAGUUCCAAUAUCCAGAAGGGCUCAGGACCCCUCAGACAUACGCAGGUCAGGGCUGAAGGACCUUUGGGGGUCAUGAGGGAUAGCCUGCCCCUUUUACAGGUGGGUAGACUGAGGCCCAGGGAGGACAAGCAGACUAGGAUGGAAGCCCAGGUUCCUCGCUCCUGGCCCCCAAGGAAAGGCUGGCUCCCAUUCUCCUGCUGACCUCAUGGUCUCCUGCCUCCUGCUCUAGUGACUGGCUUCCCAGGAGGGCAGGCUCCCCUCCUCUCUGCCCUCUGCUCUCCCCAGAGCCCUGGCUCUGAUGCCCUGGCUUUGAUCCUAGGACCCUGCUUGGACCCAGGAGGCUGCAGCCCCACUCGGACAGCGGAAGCAGAACGGGGGUUUGUCUUCCACGAGAGCCCGUCUGUUGGCGGCGGGGUUGGGCUCGGUUGGCACAGUGAAGCGUUGUUUCCUUGAAUACACAAUCUGCAGCUUUCCACCCUCACCCGGGCCCUGGCAGGCAGCACUUGCUUCCCUAGAGGUCCAGCUUCCUGGCCCCUGCCUGCCCCAUCAGCCCUCCUAGAACCCUGGCAAGAAGUGCAGGUGCCAAGGGGUAGCUUGGAGGGGUCCAGCUCCCCUCAGUCGCCCUCAGAGUACCUCUCAUCAAACUAGACCAGAAACAGCCUAUGUAAAAAAAAGUGAGUUUGCUGCGCAAAUGAAGCUUCCAGACUGUUCCCUCAGCUGCAUGCCACUUCCAACCACACUGCAGCCUCCCAAGUCCCGCUCAUUUGAAGUGUCUGGGUUCUCCCAGAACAGCUCCAUCUUUGUUUUGGUGGCCAGUGGCAGGGAAGCUGUGGAAGCCCAGGAGAAGGCAGGCUCUGGGGGAAAGGAGAGACGGGGGCUGGGGUUGGGGACAUGAAUGGACAAUCCGCCACGAACACGGAAGCGGGUGUUGGAGAAGGUUUUCCAACAUGAAAGUAGAUGUCUGUGAUGGGAAACCCGGAAGGGGAAGAGCCCGGGAUUUGGAGUCACAGACCUGGGUUUCAGUCCUGGCUCUAUCAUUUUCUAGCUGUGUGGUCUUGGCGAGUUAUUUAACACCCUUUGUCUGCACAAAGGUGACGAAGAGCUCUGUGUCACAGGGCUGUUUGAGGGACCUGGUGAGCGCCUCAGCACUAUCAGCACAGGGAUCUCCGUGGUGUCUGAAUCAGCUCUGCACUGCCCGAUGGGGGCAGUGACAGACAGUGAUCCAUACCCACCCCUGCGUCUGCCCACCCAGGAGCAUUCACGUUACUCUUCCAGGAAUCCUGGAAAUCCUGCUCUCCCAAUCUCGCCAGUCUUCUGCUGGGAAGAAACUUUAGAAGAACUCCAACCAAACACCGUGGAGCCAAGGACGUGGGCGCCCUGGGACUUUCUUGAAGAGGUUCUGGGCCCUGGGACUUUCUCAAAGAGGUUCAGAGGGGCCGGGGGUCAAGGACUUGAUUUUCCCCCAGAAGGACCUUGGGAAAGUAUGGGACUCCUCAGCCACCCGCAACUGGGAACCAGAAAUCCUUCCCCCUGCCUUGGGGCCAAAUGCAGAAGCUGCUGCAAGCUGUGGAGGGCUGCUGAACGCCGGAGCCUUACAACUGUUAAACUCAGGCAGAGCUCGGGAAAUGCUGCCCGGAUGGGUGACUGAUGGAGAGGGGCUACCACUCUUCCAGCUAAACUCCGCUCUGGUUGGGACCCAGCAAUUAUUUUCCAUAGCGAAGUGUUAAUAAAAUAUCUGUUACUCCCAACACAACCUCCUGGGGGAAGGGACCUGUCUGUCUGCUUCAACUUUGGAUCCUCAGUGCCCACAUCAGGAUACCUGGCCUGAGAGCAUCCGGUGACCCAGUUUUAGGUCUCAAGGUCACUGCCAAGAAAGAGAAGCUGCUAAAGUGACACCUCUGUGCACCCACAUGACUUAACACAAAAGUUAACAGGAGCUCUUCAAAAACAAGCCUCUCGAGUGUCUGUCUCCUGUUUUCCCUGAGGACAGCAUCAGUGGCAUCAGAUAGGGGUUGGGGCUGGGUGACCUGCUGGUCCUCAGCCAUCACUGUGGCCCAGAGGUCAUUUAAGCAGCUCUCUGCUUAGCAGACAGGCAGAGGGAAUAGAUGGAAGGUACAGGUAAACACUGCAUGUGGCCACCGCGAGGAUACCCCGGAGCCUGGGAAACAGACAGGGACGUCGUAAAACCAACACAUAAUGGACCAGUGCAGAGACAGGCAAAACCAGUCAGAAGAAAUAGGAUGGUGCCUAGCCCAGGGACACCUGACUUAAGAGAGGGUCCUGCCGGUAUUACCCUGGAGGAAGGAAUGCUGCACAGAGGCCGAGAGGAAUUUGAACAGACUGGCCUUGCUGGGUUUUUAUCUCUUUUUGUCCAAUCCCAUUUUGACACAGUUGUCCAUGCUCCAAUCAUGCUUAUCCAAUGAAGUUUCCAUAACAGGCCUGAGAGGACAGGGUUCAGGAGCUUCCGGACAGCUGAGCAGGUGGAGGUUCCUGGAGGGUGGUGUGCCAGGGAGGGUGUGGAAGCUCUGCCCCUUCCCCCAUACCUUGUCCUAUGCAUUCCUUUAUCUGCAUCCUUCAUUUUAUUUUAUUUUUUUUUGAGACGGAGUCUUGCUCUUGUCGUCCAGGCUGGAAUGCAGUGGUGCGCGA
rnacentral:lncRNA from 1 species